rnacentral:rRNA from 1 species
AACGAACGCUGGCGGCAGGCCUAACACAUGCAAGUCGAGCGAGGACUUCGGUUCUAGCGGCGGACGGGUGAGUAACGCGUGGGAAUGUGCCCUUCUCUACGGAAUAGCCCUGGGAAACUGGGAGUAAUACCGUAUACGCCCUAUUGGGGAAAGAUUUAUCGGAGGAGGAUCAGCCCGCGUUGGAUUAGGUAGUUGGUGGGGUAAUGGCCUACCAAGCCGACGAUCCAUAGCUGGUUUGAGAGGAUGAUCAGCCACACUGGGACUGAGACACGGCCCAGACUCCUACGGGAGGCAGCAGUGGGGAAUCUUAGACAAUGGGGGCAACCCUGAUCUAGCCAUGCCGCGUGAGUGAUGAAGGCCUUAGGGUUGUAAAGCUCUUUCAGCUGGGAAGAUAAUGACGGUGCCAGCAGAAGAAGCCCCGGCUAACUCCGUGCCAGCAGCCGCGGUAAUACGGAGGGGGCUAGCGUUGUUCGGAAUUACUGGGCGUAAAGCGCACGUAGGCGGACCGGAAAGUCAGAGGUGAAAUCCCAGGGCUCAACCUUGGAACUGCCUUUGAAACUAUCGGUCUGGAGUUCGAGAGAGGUGAGUGGAAUUCCGAGUGUAGAGGUGAAAUUCGUAGAUAUUCGGAGGAACACCAGUGGCGAAGGCGGCUCACUGGCUCGAUACUGACGCUGAGGUGCGAAAGCGUGGGGAGCAAACAGG